AGUCGAGCGGGAGGGGUAGCAAUACCCCAAGAGCGGCGCACGGGUGCGUAACGCGUAUGCAACCUGCCUUAUACAAAGGGAUAGCCCAUGGAAACGUGGAUUAAUAUCUUAUAGGACUUAAGAAUCGCAUGGUUUUUAAGUUAAAACUACGGUGGUAUAAGAUGGGCAUGCGUCUGAUUAGGUAGUUGGUAGGGUAACGGCCUACCAAGCCGACGAUCAGUAGGGGUUCUGAGAGGAUUACCCCCCACACUGGUACUGAGACACGGACCAGACUCCUACGGGAGGCAGCAGUGAGGAAUAUUGGUCAAUGGGCGAGAGCCUGAACCAGCCAUCCCGCGUGCAGGAUGACGGCCCUAUGGGUUGUAAACUGCUUUUCUGCUCCAAGAAACCUGGUUACGUGUAAUCAGUUGACGGUAGAGUAGGAAUAAGCAUCGGCUAACUCCGUGCCAGCAGCCGCGGUAAUACGGAGGAUGCAAGCGUUAUCCGGAUUCAUUGGGUUUAAAGGGUGCGCAGGUGGGAAUGUAAGUCAGUGGUGAAAUACUGCCGCUUAACGGUAGAGCUGCCAUUGAUACUGCGUUUCUUGAGUAUGGUUGAGGUAGGUGGAAUGUGUUGUGUAGCGGUGAAAUGCAUAGAUAUGACACAGAACGCCGAUUGCGAAGGCAACUUACUAAGCCAUUACUGACGCUGAGGCACGAAAGCGUGGGUAGCGAACAGGAUUAGAUACCCUGGUAGUCCACGCCGUANACGAUGUUCACUCGCUGUUUGCGAUACACAGUAAGCGGCUGAGCGAAAGCAUUAAGUGAACCACCUGGGGAGUACGAUCGCAAGGUUGAA
rnacentral:rRNA from 1 species